CCUACGGGAGGCAGCAGUGGGGAAUAUUGGACAAUGGGCGAAAGCCUGAUCCAGCAAUGCCGCGUGAGUGAUGAAGGCCUUAGGGUUGUAAAGCUCUUUUACCAGGGAUGAUAAUGACAGUACCUGGAGAAUAAGCUCCGGCUAACUCCGUGCCAGCAGCCGCGGUAAUACGGAGGGAGCUAGCGUUGUUCGGAAUUACUGGGCGUAAAGCGUACGUAGGCGGUUAUUCAAGUCAGAGGUGAAAGCCCGGGGCUCAACCCCGGAACUGCCUUUGAAACUAGAUAGCUAGAAUCUUGGAGAGGUUAGUGGAAUUCCGAGUGUAGAGGUGAAAUUCGUAGAUAUUCGGAAGAACACCAGUGGCGAAGGCGACUAACUGGACAAGUAUUGACGCUGAGGUACGAAAGCGUGGGGAGCAAACAGGAUUAGAUACCCUGGUAGUCCACGCCGUAAACGAUGAUAACUAGCUGUUCGGGCACUUGGUGCUUGAGUGGCGCAGCUAACGCAUUAAGUUAUCCGCCUGGGGAGUACGGUCGCAGAUAAAACUCAAAGGAAUUGACGG
rnacentral:rRNA from 1 species